AGAUUCGUGAAAGAUGAAAAUCUUUCACGGUCUUUACUGUGGAGGAAGGCACAUCAAAACAAAAAUGGAGAAUACGAUGGCGAUGAUGUUAGGGAAAAGGCAGCACAGCUUGAGGAGUUUGAUAAGCAGCUGGAAGUGGAAGAUGGAACUUUGACGAAAAAAGCAGGCACUGAGCUUGGCCUACAGAGUUUGUGAUCUUUAUUCCUUAAUUUAGUCUACCUGUUAUAACAAAUAUGUGGAACCAUGUACAUGCUUGUUGUAAUGUAGCUUAAUGCUAUAAUGCUGUGUGUUGUGUGAUACCUGGGUCCAAUUACUUAUUUUUCUGUAUUCUAGCUUUGGCUUGAAACCAACACUAGCAAAUAUGAGAUAACUGUAUUUUGUCCCCGCUGCACAUAUUUUCCCACAAUUCGCACAUGAGCAUAUAACUGUUAGCAUAAUACUAUUUAUAUGUUUUGAGGCAGUUAACAGAGAACAUUUAAGUUAUUACCUUAUGCAUCCUGAGCAUAUAACUGUUAUCAUGGUUUGUUCCCUAAUUAUACAUCCACUUGCUUGCUGCAGGGCCAGCCACUUUCAGACCCUGAUGAACAUGAUGCUGACUCAAACACUAAGAAGAUAAAGAACAAGAAACCUUCAGAUACAAAGAGUGGGGAACUGAAGUCUCGGAGAUCCAGCAAAAGACUCAAGACUGCAGCCUAAUUAUUAAGAGAAAUAGACUGUAGAAUUUGGAUGUUUAAACUUGUAAAUCUCCCUUUGAAAUUUUGUUAUCUUAAGGUUAUUGCAUGAUUGGUCAGAUAUUGAGAGUUUAUCAUAUGGUUAAUAAAAAUUAUUUUGGUUCAAUUC